UACGUAGGGGGCAAGCGUUAUCCGGAUUUAUUGGGCGUAAAGAGCUCGUAGGCGGCCGUUCGCGUCGGAUGUGAAAGCUCAGGGCUCAACUCUGAGACGCCAUUCGAUACGGGACGGCUAGAGGUAGGUAGGGGAAAGUGGAAUUCCCGGUGUAGCGGUGAAAUGCGCAGAUAUCGGGAGGAACACCGGUGGCGAAGGCGGGUCUCUGGGCCGAUACUGACGCUGAGGAGCGAAAGCGUGGGGAGCGAACAGG
rnacentral:rRNA from 1 species